AGGGUUUGAUCAUGGCUCAGAGCGAACGCUGGCGGCAGGCCUAACACAUGCAAGUCGAGCGCGCCUUCGGGCGAGCGGCGGACGGGUUAGUAACGCGUGGGAACGUGCCCAGAUCUACGGAAUAGCCACUGGAAACGGUGAGUAAUACCGUAUACGCCCUUCGGGGGAAAGAUUUAUCGGAUUUGGAUCGGCCCGCGUUAGAUUAGGUAGUUGGUGGGGUAACGGCCUACCAAGCCUACGAUCUAUAGCUGGUUUUAGAGGAUGAUCAGCAACACUGGGACUGAGACACGGCCCAGACUCCUACGGGAGGCAGCAGUGGGGAAUCUUGGACAAUGGGGGCAACCCUGAUCCAGCCAUGCCGCGUGAGUGAAGAAGGCCCUAGGGUCGUAAAACUCUUUCGCCUGUGAUGAUAAUGACAGUAGCAGGUAAAGAAACCCCGGCUAACUCCGUGCCAGCCGCCGCGGUAAUUC
rnacentral:rRNA from 1 species